GAGGGUAUAACUCAGUGGUAGAGCACAUGCUUAGCAUGCAUAAGGUCCUGGGUUCAAUCCCCAUUACCUCCA
rnacentral:tRNA from 1 species